rnacentral:misc_RNA from 1 species
AAAAAGACAAAAGGUAGACCAAAAUGAGCCAGGUUGAAAUUAAUCAAAGCUUAUGAUUGUGAACAUCUCAGAGAAAAUAUGGCCCUAGAUAUUGGAGGAAAUGAUUCAUGUAACCCACUCUAGUUAGUUAAAGAUGUAAUUCAUUUAGUUUGAACCAUUCUUUGCCAACUAGACAGAAGAUCAAGCCUAAGUAACGCAAUAACCAGAACUUCUCCUCUAAUUCAAGGGUUCUGACGUGACCAUGUAGUUUUAUGUUUCUAGUCAGUUAUUGGUUCUGAACUUUUAUUCUGAAUAUUCUAAAUUUCGUCA